CAGUAAAUAAUUUAAAAAAAAUACUAAUCUUGGAAAUUAGAAAUAAUUACAUUUUUACUGA
rnacentral:tRNA from 1 species